GAUGAACGCUGGCGGCGUGCCUAAUACAUGCAAGUCGAGCGGACAGAUGAGGCGCUUGCCCCGGUGACGUUGGCGGCGGGCGGGUGAGUAACACGAAGGUAACCUACCUAUGAGGCUGGGAUCACUUAGGGGGACCGGAGCUAAUACCGGAUAAGAGUUGGAAAGGGAGGGUUCUUAAGAGAAAACUGGUUUUGCUAUGACUAAUAGGGGGAAGCAAGUUGGAUUAGCUAGUUGGUAAGGUAACGGCGUACCAAGGCGACGAUCCGUAGCUGACCUGAGAGGAUGAUCAGUCACACUGGAACUGAGACACGGUCCAGACUCCUACGGGAGGCAGCAGUGGGGAAUAUUGGACAAUGGGCGAAAGCCUGAUCCAGCCAUGCCGCGUGUGUGAAGAAGGUCUUCGGAUUGUAAAGCACUUUAAGUUGGGAGGAAGGGCAGUAAGUUAAUACCUUGCUGUUUUGACGUUACCAACAGAAUAAGCAACGGCUAACUUCGUG
rnacentral:rRNA from 1 species